rnacentral:lncRNA from 1 species
GCCAUCGACGCUUGAGAACUUCUUGGACUAGGUGGUUGUGCAAGGUCAAUUGUACCUCCGUUAUACUCGUCGUGUCCUUGUUCAAAAGCUUCAUAUCCAUCUCCUCUAGUUUCAUCUCGGCUUGCAUUUUUUUGACCCCAGCGAUUUCCCCCGUUUUGAGAGCAUGCUCCUUCAUGCUUUUGGCCACCUUCUUGAGGGCAUUGGAGAACGUCGAACCUCAUCUCGAAGACCCUUCUUCCUUCUUCGCUUUGCCCUUGUCUCGCUUUGCCGCUUUUUGGCCUUGGGGCCUCGUCGUGACACUCGGCUCCGAAGAAGUGGUGGUUGCUCCACCAUCGGAGCCCUUCGACUUCUUUGCAGAGUGGAC